rnacentral:rRNA from 1 species
GAUGAACGCUAGCUACAGGCUUAACACAUGCAAGUCGAGGGGUAACGAGAGGAAAGCUUGCUUUCCUUGUCGACGACCGGCGCACGGGUGAGUAACGCGUAUCCAACCUGCCCCCAACUAGGGAAUAACCUUGCGAAAGUAAGACUAAUACCCCAUAAUUUCCUCAGAUGACAUCUGACGAGGAAUAAAGAUUUAUCGGUUGUGGAUGGGGAUGCGUCUGAUUAGCUUGUUGGCGGGGUAACGGCCCACCAAGGCAACGAUCAGUAGGGGUUCUGAGAGGAAGGUCCCCCACAUUGGAACUGAGACACGGUCCAAACUCCUACGGGAGGCAGCAGUGAGGAAUAUUGGUCAGUGGGCGGAAGCCUGAACCAGCCAAGUAGCGUGCAGGAUGACGGCCCUAUGGGUUGUAAACUGCUUUUAUACAGGAAUAAAGUUAGCCACGUGUGGUUAUUUGUAGGUACUGUAUGAAUAAGGACCGGCUAAUUCCGUGCCAGCAGCCGCCGUAA